rnacentral:rRNA from 1 species
AUUGAACGCUGGCGGCAGGCCUAACACAUGCAAGUCGAGCGGAGCGGCGGACGGGGGAGUAAUGCAUAGGAAUGUGCCUGGUAGUGGGGGAUAAGGUCCGGAAACGGGCGCUAAUACCGCAUACUAUCAGAUGAGCCUAGGUCGGAUGAGCUAGUUGGGGGGGUAAAGGCCCACCAAGGCGACGAUCCGUAGCUGGUCUGAGAGGAUGAUCAGUCACACUGGAACUGAGACACGGUCCAGACUCCUACGGGAGGCAGCAGUGGGGAAUAUUGGACAAUGGGCGAAAGCCUGAUCCAGCCAUGCCGCGUGUGUGAAGAAGGCCUUCGGAUUGUAAAGCACUUUAAGUUGGGAGGCGUUACCAACAGAAGAAGCACCGGCUAACUCCGUGCCAGCCGCCGCGGUAAUAC